rnacentral:rRNA from 1 species
CCGGGUAAGGCCCCCGCCCAGACCAGCGGGUUGAUAGGCCGGAAGUGGAAGCACCGCGAGGUGUGUGAGCUGACCGGUACUAACAGGCCGAGGGCUUGACCAC